UAGGGAAUCUUCGGCAAUGGACGAAAGUCUGACCGAGCAACGCCGCGUGAGUGAAGAAGGUUUUCGGAUCGUAAAACUCUGUUGUUAGAGAAGAACAAGGACGUUAGUAACUUAACGUCCCCUGACGGUAUCUAACCAGAAAGCCACGGCUAACUACGUGCCAGCAGCCGCGGUAAUACGUAGGUGGCAAGCGUUGUCCGGAUUUAUUGGGCGUAAAGCGAGCGCAGGCGGUUUCUUAAGUCUGAUGUGAAAGCCCCCGGCUCAACCGGGGAGGGUCCUUGGAACCUAGGCGACUUGCGUGCAGCAGAGGAGCGUGGACUUCCCUGUGUAGCGGUGAAAUGCGUAGAUAUAUGGAGGAACACCAGUGGCGCAGGCGGCUCUCUGGUCUGUAACUGACGCUGAGGCUCGAAAGCGUCGGGAGCAAACAGG
rnacentral:rRNA from 1 species